CACUCCUGCGGGAGGCAGCAGUGGGGAAUUUUGGACAAUGGGCGAAAGCCUGAUCCAGCAAUGCCGCGUGUGUGAAGAAGGCCUUCGGGUUGUAAAGCACUUUUGUCCGGAAAGAAAUCCUUGGCUCUAAUACAGUCGGGGGAUGACGGUACCGGAAGAAUAAGCACCGGCUAACUACGUGCCAGCAGCCGCGGUAAUACGUAGGGUGCGAGCGUUAAUCGGAAUUACUGGGCGUAAAGCGUGCGCAGGCGGUUUGCUAAGACCGAUGUGAAAUCCCCGGGCUCAACCUGGGAACUGCAUUGGUGACUGGCAGGCUAGAGUAUGGCAGAGGGGGGUAGAAUUCCACGUGUAGCAGUGAAAUGCGUAGAGAUGUGGAGGAAUACCGAUGGCGAAGGCAGCCCCCUGGGCCAAUACUGACGCUCAUGCACGAAAGCGUGGGGAGCAAACAGGAUUAGAUACCCCAGUAGUCCCAUG
rnacentral:rRNA from 1 species